CAUCGCACAAUUCGGUCCAUAGUAAUGAAGUCAUUUCAUGUAUAUUCCAUUUUCUUGGUAAGAAGAUAAGAGUCAGAAUUUUACCUAGAAGUGCUGCUACUAUAGCUGUUCACUAAAUGAUGCCUCAGGAACCAAACACUACAGUAAAAAAAGAGGCACGGAAAACGAGCGUCUCUGUAUGGAGCUGUUGAUGUUGCCAAGACACAAAAAUUGAAUAUAUGGUCAUGUUGUAAAGACCAGCCAACCAGUGGUGGUUGCAGGUGGUACGGGCGUACCAGUGCCUGCCUGGAGCACCGGGUACCGU